rnacentral:rRNA from 1 species
CUCCGGUUGAUCCUGCCGGACCCGACUGCUAUCAGAGUGGGACUAAGCCAUGCGAGUCAACAUAGCAAUAUGUGGCAUACGGCUCAGUAACACGUAGUCAACAUGCCCAGGGGACGUGGAUAACCUCGGGAAACUGAGGAUAAACCGCGAUAAGUCACUACUUCUGGAAUGGGUAAUGACUCAAAUCUACAUGGCCCCUGGAUUGGACUGCGGCCGAUCAGGCUGUUGGUGAGGUAAUGGCCCACCAAACCUGUAACCGGUACGGGCUCUGAGAGGAGGAGCCCGGAGAUGGGCACUGAGACAAGGGCCCAGGCCCUAUGGGGCGCAGCAGGCGCGAAACCUCUGCAAUAGGCGAAAGCCUGACAGGGUUACUCUGAGUGAUUUCCGUUAAGGAGAUCUUUUGGCACCUCUAAAAAUGGUGCAGAAUAAGGGGUGGGCAAGUCUGGUGUCAGCCGCCGCGGUAAUACCAGCACCCCGAGUGGUCGGGACGUUUAUUGGGCCUAAAGCAUCCGUAGCCGGUUCUACAAGUCUUCCGUUAAAUCCACCUGCUUAACAGAUGGGCUGCGGAAGAUACUAUAGAGCUAGGAGGCGGGAGAGGCAAGCGGUACUCGAUGGGUAGGGGUAAAAUCCGUUGAUCCAUUGAAGACCACCAGUGGCGAAGGCGGCUUGCCAGAACGCGCUCGACGGUGAGGGAUGAAAGCUGGGGGAGCAAACCGGAUUAGAUACCCGGGUAGUCCCAACUGUAAACGAUGCAGACUCGGUGAUGAGUUGGCUUCUUGCCAACUCAGUGCCGCAGGGAAGCCGUUAAGUUUGCCGCCUGGGGAGUACGGUCGCAAGACUGAAACUUAAAGGAAUGGCGGGGGAGCA